rnacentral:misc_RNA from 1 species
GAUGAAGAACGUAGCGAAAUGCGAUAAGUAGUGUGAAUUGCAGAAUUCAGCGAAUCAUCGAAUCUUUGAACGCACAUUGCGCCCUUCGGUUAUUCCUUAGGGCAUGCCUGUUCGAGCGUCAUUUCAACCUUCAAGCCUGGCUUGGUGUUGGGCGCUGUCCCGCCUCCGCGCGCGGACUCGCCCCAACUGAAUUGGCAGUCGCACCCUCCGAGCCGCGAGCGCAGCACAGGUCGCGCGGGCGGAACUCUGGGGGGACGGACGCUCCACAAGACCCUUUCUCAGUCUUGACCUCGGAUCAGGUAGGGAUACCCGCUGAACUUAAGCAUAUCAAUAAGCGGAGGA